rnacentral:rRNA from 1 species
GCGCCUACGGGAGGCAGCAGUGGGGAAUAUUGCACAAUGGGGGGAACCCUGAUGCAGCGACGCCGCGUGGGUGAAGAAGUAUUUCGGUAUGUAAAGCCCUACCAGCAGGGAAGAAGAAAUGACGGUACCUGAGUAAGAAGCACCGGCUAAAUACGUGUCAGCAGCCGCGGUAAUACGUAUGGUGCAAGCGUUAUCCGGAUUUACUGGGUGUAAAGGGAGCGCAGGCGGCACGGCAAGCCUGAUGUGAAAGCCCGCGGCCCAACCGCGGGACUGCAUUGGGAACUACCGGGCUGGAGUGCCGGAGG